AGGAAAGUCUGGAGGUCUAGUAUCAGGGUUGUAGGAUAGGGGCUCCUAGAGUUUUUCAUACUCCUCACCCGGGGUUGGGUGAGGUUGGGUGAGGCUUAGCAAAGCUAUCCAUAGAUGAUUUGUGUUUUGGUUUGUGUCUCCCUUAUGGUAGUUAUUUAUGGUAGUUACUGUAUGAUACUAUUGCAUGCUAUUUGAUUAUAUGUUUCUUUUGUUUAGAUAAUUAUUUACGCUAUUUCUGCUGGAGUUACUAAUGCUCUUUUGUUUUUGUUUGUGUUUUUGUUGUUCCUUUCCUUCACUGAGCCGAGGGUCAAUUGGAAA
rnacentral:lncRNA from 1 species